AGUUGAUCGCUCUUCUACUUUCUGCAACAAAUUGUUUCAAGUCGCAGGAAAAACUUCACGUGUGACAGGGCGCGUGCGACCUGCAACAAUUUUUUUGCGAGACAAGUUGCAAGAGAAAAAACGUACGCGUGACAGGGCCUUUACCUUGUGUUUCCGAUAAUGUUGAAAGCUCCUUCUUCGAUUUAUACCGCGAAUACGAUGGCGAUAUCAAAGAAUUAUUUGCAAUGUCCAGUCCAGAACUACUAUGAUUGCAAAUCAUUGCCCAAGAAAUAAAAAAAAUGGAUUGCUUCAUUAUUUUAAACCAAGGCAAACACAGCCACGGAGGAGACACAGAGAUUCUUUAGAAAUCAGUGAGCUCCAGUAAAUACUGCAGUGUACUUACAUGCAGAAGCUAUUGUUAGGGAUAACCAGGAGACCAUAAAUUCUGCAUAGUUAACUAUAUGUUAAUACAUGAGCAGUAAUCUUUUCAGUAGCUAUUAUCAUGGCCACCACUUAGACCCAAAUAGCUUACUGCGUACGUACAGGCAUGCAGCUCGGUGUGGACACACGGGUUGUGCCCCUCCCACUCAAUCACCAAAAAGCAGUCUUUUUUUAAAUAUACUUACUUUCCAUAAUAUCUAUGACUGCACAUACCCUCCACAGCUAAUCAGAUUGUUUAUUAUGGUUAUCAGACUUCACCUUUCCUUUUCUAGACAUACAAUUGCUUCAAUUAAAUAAUUUCUUUUGUUUAAUAAAAUAAGACUACAAGCAAUUUGUUUUUGUUCUACUUCUCUUAUAAAACAAACAGAGAAACCAUGAAAGGGUAAGUGAUCAGCCAAGACAGUGGCUGCAAAGAAAAUGGUGUCUUGCAUAUACCUGGCUUAUGGAAAAUGUGCGAAAUGCCCCACACAAAUCUAAAAGAAUCUUGAUUUAACCCUGCAAUUGAAUGACCAACCAAUCUAUGAGCUCGAGCACUUCACUUAUCCACGAGAACUUCUAGUUUUAACUGUUAGUAUAUAUGAGUGUCAUAUACACCCGAUAUACAAUACAAUCGACCUUAUCA